GCAGUAGCCGCGGUAAUACGAAGGGUGCAAGCGUUACUCGGAAUUACUGGGCGUAAAGCGUGCGUAGGUGGUGGUUUAAGUCCGUUGUGAAAGCCCUGGGCUCAACCUGGGAAUUGCAGUGGAUACUGGGUCACUAGAGUGUGGUAGAGGAUAGUGGAAUUUCCGGUGUAGCAGUGAAAUGCGUAGAGAUCGGAAGGAACAUCUGUGGCGAAGGCGACUAUCUGGGCCAACACUGACACUGAGGCACGAAAGCGUGGGGAGCAAACAGGAUUAGAUACCCCCGUAGUCCCUGUCUCUUAUAC
rnacentral:rRNA from 1 species